GGAGAGGCCGAGAAGUACUUGGAGUGACGGGCGCUGGAGCCAGUGGGAGCACGGAAGGAGCGAGUUUUGCGGUGUGGGUGAUGACCAGGGUCAGCCAUUCAAGCCGUUUGAGGACGAACUGAUACUUGAAUUCACGUCCUUUUCUUAGGGGAACAUGGACGUGGAUCCUUUAAACACUUCGUCCAUUCACCGCGAGAGCUGCGCUGCAACUUCACAAAAAAAGAUGAGCCAGAUGAAUAAGAAAGAAGACGCGUGAUGAAGAGGUAUAAUUGAAAAGAAGCCAGGAGUUGGAAAAUACUUGUGGGUACCAGAGAAAGCAGAAGGGUAUAUGGCAUAACGUUUAAAAAAUGUAGACCCUGGAAUGAGGUGCCUGCAUUCAGAUCUCAACUCUGCCUCCUGAGACAUCUGACCAAGUCACUUCAUCCAUAACCCUUUUACAGGCCAAAGCAGAGAGCUGGAUUGGAAGUGGAGCAGCCAGGGCUCGAGCCAGUGCCCAUAAGGGAUGCCAGCGCUGCAGACCAGGGCUUUAGUGGGAUUUUAAAAAAGAAAUAUGCAUUGAAUUAACAUUAUCUAUAAACUCCUACUGUGCAGUAGGACUGCAGAACUUCUUACUCUGACCUGGCUGUAACAGUACCUGCUGAUCAACCUUCUUCCCUCCACCCUGCCACGCCUCUUCAGCUUCUGGCCUAUAAUUGCAGUAAACCUGCAGACCUUGAGAAGGAUUGCGCCAUUUGCCACUGGUGGGGAAUCAGGGAGGUCCAUUUGCCACCACUGCCCCUCAGCUUGUUAAAAAAUAACUCCUGUGGAAGUGAUGGUCCUGUGUUUGAGUGUCCCGACUCUGCCUUUCAGUGGCUGUUUGACUCAGGGCAGUCGGAGCCGAAGAGCCUGAAGUUAGAGAUGAGGAACAGCUUCUCCAGCAGCAGGGACACCACCUCCAGCAUCGGGUUCUUCAUCCUGCAAG